rnacentral:rRNA from 1 species
AUUGAACGCUGGCGGCAUGCCUAACACAUGCAAGUCGAACGGCAGCACAGCAGUAGCAAUACUGUGGGUGGCGAGUGGCGGACGGGUGAGGAAUGCAUCGGAAUCUGCCCAGUCGUGGGGGAUAACGUAGGGAAACUUACGCUAAUACCGCAUACGACGGCGACGUGAAAGCGGGGGAUCGCAAGACCUCGCGCGAUUGGAUGAGCCGAUGCCGGAUUAGCUAGUUGGUGGGGUAAAGGCCUACCAAGGCGACGAUCCGUAACUGGUCUGAGAGGAUGAUCAGGCACACUGGAAGUGAGACACGGUCCAGACUCCUACGGGAGGCAGCAGUGGGGAAUAUUGGACAAUGGGCGAAAGCCUGAUCCAGCCAUGCCGCGUGUGUGAAGAAGGUCUUCGGAUUGUAAAGCACUUUAAGUCGGGAGGAAGGGCUGUAGGCUAAUACCUUGCAGUUUUGACGUUACCGACAGAAUAAGCACCGGCUAACUUCGUGCCAGCCGCCGCCGUAAUAC